GACACGGGGUCUGUGGGUAUGCAUACAGACAAAUCUUCCUCUCUUCUACAGAUGCCCAUCAAGAGUGGAAGCUGGAGGUGGUUAUUGUCCGGGGCAAUGUGUACAUUUCCAGAUUCUGCUCUGUGAAUCGAAACGCCAGCUUUCCCAUUAUAAUCGCAUCAGUGUGACCGCCUUGACUUAGCCUGCCACUGAGGACUUCUGCUCCAGCCAAACGCCUCCCAGCCAAGACUCAACGAGCUUGCCAAAUGGUUUCAUUUCUUGGCUUGUCAGAACUCAUCAGCUUCCUUUGCCUUGUGUGUUUCCUGGCAACACUGAAACGAAGCGCGUCUCACCAUUAAAACUAUUAGGAAAUGUGAUAUCGCCAAUCUCAUCCAGUCUAAUCACUCAGGGUGGCUGCAGCGGGCAAGAUAGGAAAGAGAAGGUCACUGUGAGUUAACUAAACCUCACCCUCACAGAUA
rnacentral:lncRNA from 1 species